CGGGGCCAUGGCCGCCGUGCCUAUAAUGCAGUCGAGCGAACUGAUUAGAAGCUUGCUUCUAUGACGUUAGCGGCGGACGGGUGAGUAACACGUGGGCAACCUGCCUGUAAGACUGGGAUAACUUCGGGAAACCGAAGCUAAUACCGGAUAGGAUCUUCUCCUUCAUGGGAGAUGAUUGAAAGAUGGUUUCGGCUAUCACUUACAGAUGGGCCCGCGGUGCAUUAGCUAGUUGGUGAGGUAACGGCUCACCAAGGCAACGAUGCAUAGCCGACCUGAGAGGGUGAUCGGCCACACUGGGACUGAGACACGGCCCAGACUCCUACGGGAGGCAGCAGUAGGGAAUCUUCCGCAAUGGACGAAAGUCUGACGGAGCAACGCCGCGUGAGUGAUGAAGGCUUUCGGGUCGUAAAACUCUGUUGUUAGGGAAGAACAAGUACGAGAGUAACUGCUUGUACCUUGACGGUACCUAACCAGAAAGCCACGGCUAACUACGUGCCAGCAGCCGCGGUAAUACGUAGGUGGCAAGCGUUAUCCGGAAUUAUUGGGCGUAAAGCGCGCGCAGGCGGUUUCUUAAGUCUGAUGUGAAAGCCCACGGCUCAACCGUGGAGGGUCAUUGGAAACUGGGGAACUUGAGUGCAGAAGAGAAAAGCGGAAUUCCACGUGUAGCGGUGAAAUGCGUAGAGAUGUGGAGGAACACCAGUGGCGAAGGCGGCUUUUUGGUCUGUAACUGACGCUGAGGCGCGAAAGCGUGGGGGAGCAAACAGGAUUAGAUACCCUGGUAGUCCACGCCGUAAACGAUGAGUGCUAAGUGUUAGAGGGUUUCCGCCCUUUAGUGCUGCAGCUAACGCAUUAAGCACUCCGCCUGGGGAGUACGGUCGCAAGACUGAAACUCAAAGGAAUUGACGGGGGCCCGCACAAGCGGUGGAGCAUGUGGUUUAAUUCGAAGCAACGCGAAGAACCUUACCAGGGUCUUGAACAUCCUCUGACAACUCUAAGAGAUAGAGCGUUCCCCUUUCGGGGGACAGAGUGAACAGGUGGUGCAUGGGUUGUCGUCAGCUCGUGUCGUGAGAAUGGUUGGGUUUAAGUUCCCGCAAACGAGCCGCAAACCCCUUGGAUCUCUUAG
rnacentral:rRNA from 1 species